AGUUGUUUCAGGAAAUCGGAGAAGUGCAAGGGAGGAGAGCAGGGAAACCGCAGAGCAUCAUGGGACGUGGAUGAGGGAACACAAGGAACUAAAAGUUACUCCAGAUAGCAGAGAGGAGAUCUGUGUGCCAGUCGCAAGUGCUGAAAGGGUGCAAAGGCUGAAAAGAGUCGGUGGAUUAUUCAUAAAACACCCACAUCUCCGCACCGAGCACAGAGACCGGCCUCCGCCCGCUGCAGUAACCACCAAGAAACACAAUGCCAAAGGAAUCAGUCUUCAAAAAGGUUGUGGGAUUGGAACCCACAACCUCCAAGCUGUGAGGCAACAGUGCCUGUACCCUGUGAGCUGGGUUCCAAAGUACAGACUUCAACUAACCAACUGGACAGACUGCAAUUUUGACCUCAUGGUUGGUGCCGGAUGUAAAGUCAGAGGACCACUAAAGCUAUUACAAAUCAUCCCGAGGGAGACAAGAAAGUCUGCAGUAAAUGUCAUGGAAAUCCAUACUAUAAUUUAUCCUCACAGGAGGAUGUAUUCAAAAUAACUCAAUUAGGUUUUCCUCAAGGACUAUAGUGUCAUGCUUUGUGGGCCUGUUAUGUUUUGAACAAAAGGAAGAUCCUCCCUGGAUUCCCUGGAGUCAGUUCCACUGAGUCACACGCAGUGAGCUGAGCACCAGCACUUCCCUCUGAACUAUCUAAUGUCUGUAAGCUGUUUUAUAUAGAGCAGGUACGCUGUCACCGCCUGAUCAGGCUCUUUAGUUUGCAAAAGCCUCAUUCAUAAUGUAGUGAGAAAAGAGUGCCGGUCACAAUUCCUGUUAUGUUGCAUUAAAUAGCUACUUAUCUUGUCAGCUCUGCAGUAGAGCAACUUUAUUUGAGUGAAACACCUACGUUGACUUUUUUGGUUGACCUCUGCUGUUCCCAGUAUCUGUGUACAGCGUGCUGUGAUGA